UACGAACCGAGCGAACGUUGUUCGGAAUCACUGGGCUUAAAGGGUGCGUAGGCGGCGCGGUAAGUCGGGUGUGAAAUCUCGGGGCUUAACUCCGAAACUGCAUUCGAUACUGCCGUGCUUGAGGACUGGAGAGGAGACUGGAAUUUACGGUGUAGCGGUGAAAUGCGUAGAUAUCGUAAGGAAGACCAGUGGCGAAGGCGGGUCUCUGGACAGUUCCUGACGCUGAGGCACGAAGGUCAGGGGAGCAAACGGG
rnacentral:rRNA from 1 species